UUCCGUUUCAACUCGCACGCGCCGCUCGUCUCUCUAUAGCCGGUCCGGUCGCGCCGGUCGCCGUCGACAGCCACCGCGCGAGCCUGUCCGCAUCUCUUCCCCCCGGCCUCUCCUUUGACACAGAGAGAGGGACGCUCGCGGCCACCUCUGCUCCCCUUCUCUCGCUCCCGACUGCGCCGUUGCGUUUGACGCCGGUCGCCGGCAGUCGGAGACGGGAUUGAGCUCCGCCGUUCCCUGGCGAGCUCUUCUCCCUGCCCCCUUUUCCUCCCUUCUACUACCCUUGUCAACCUACAUCAUGCAGCAACAGAGAGAGAGAGAGAUGCUACGGGUUUCGAUGCAGCGUCGUGGCCAUCCCCUUCGCUGGCUACGCGUCCGCCUUGCGGUGGGGUUCGACUCCUCUGCAGUCGAGCUACUACAGCAGGCGUGCUGUAGACGUCCACAUCGGCCGUCAAUUUCCAUCUGACCGCUCUAAUUUCCCCACUUAUUUCUGUUAAUAAUAAAGCCUUUAUGUAUUCGGAUAAAUGCUUCCGUUCACACUUCACACCACACAGUAAAGACCGGAGAGCAAAGAGAUUGAGGCAAGGGCGAGCAGACGACCUCGCCGCCGGCGAGGGUUCGUAUCUCCAGCCAAGCACACUCCCUCCCCUAGCGACGGUCCGGUGGAUGGACCUCCUGCCCGCCUGCUGCGCCGCGGCUGUGUCCCCGGCUUUCCCAGGAUCCGCCGCAAGGCGCCGUUCCCUGGGCUCACCGGCCGACGCCGUCCCCUGGGCUCACCGGCCAACGCCGUGGAAGGCAGGUAUGUGGGAGGACUCCACCCUCCUCAGGCUGCGCCGCCCUACGUCCCUCACCUCGAUUGAAGCUGCCCGCUUCCUCCAGCCGCUCGCCGAUGGGGAUCUGCCGGCCGCCCGGCCCCGCGCCACCACAGUCUAGGAAGGAGAUAUUGCCGUGCGGGCGCUUCUUGAGCUCGGGAGAGGCACAGGUCAGUACGUGGCUAGCUCCUACCUUGUAGUAUGUAGCAUGACAGUAUGUUUGGUCCCCUGUCCAUUGAUAUUGUCCGUCCAAAUCUUUAGAAUUAUAUGUAUGUAGCCUGUAUUUCUCAACGUUGUUGUGUUGUGGUCUAAAUACCGAUUGUUAUCUUACUGCAAUUGCAUUUGAUUUGAUUGCGCCGUUGUGUCGUGGUCUCACUCUCCAUAGAGAUUUUGGCAUGGUUCUGACUAGCAAAUUUCUAGAAUACUGUAAGUCAGUUUUUGGUUCAUCUUGUUUGGAAACCAGGAUACUGUGAUGUAAAUGCUCAAGUCCUUGCCCCUUCACACAUCAGCAAAACUAAGUGCUACUCUACUUUUAUUUUUCCUCACUUUAAAACAGAUAAACAGAAGCAAAAGUUGCUCUUCCUGUUCACAUAUCAUAACAGGAUGCAGAGGUUGCUCUCUCUGUAUUUGCCUUAAGUACUAUAAACACAUCACAAAUAGAAGGAAUUACUAGCUGCAGUUCACGGCUGUAGUCACGGCUGUAGUUGAGGUUGAUGCAGAGGAGCCGAACCACACAAAUGCAUGACUCUCCUCUUAUUUCUCUAUCAAACUAUUGUCAUAUCCGAGGAAAAUAUGAAUUCUUUUCCAAGUCCC
rnacentral:rRNA from 1 species